rnacentral:tRNA from 1 species
GCCCACAUAGCUCAGGUGGUAGAGCAUUUCCUUGGUAAGGAAAAGGUGACCGGUUCAAAUCCGGUUGUGGGCUUCA